rnacentral:rRNA from 1 species
AAUCAACGCUGGCGGCGUGCCUAACACAUGCAAGUCGAACGCGAAAGUCCCGCAAGGGAUGAGUAGAGUGGCAAACGGGUGAGUAACACGUGGGUGACCUGCCUUCGAGCGGGGGAUAGCGUCCCGAAAGGGACGCUAAUACCGCAUGACAUCCUGCCUUUGAAGAGGUGGAGAUCAAAGCUGGGGAUCGCAAGACCUAGCACUUGAAGAGGGGCCCGCGUCGAUUAGCUAGUUGGUGGGUAACGGCUCACCAAGGCAUCGAUCAGUAUCCGGCCUGAGAGGGCGGACGGACACACUGGGACUGAGACACGGCCCAGACUCCUACGGGAGGCAGCAGUGGGGAAUUGUUCGCAAUGGGCGCAAGCCUGACGACGCAACGCCGCGUGGAGGAUGAAGACCUU